rnacentral:rRNA from 1 species
UACGUAGGGGGCGAGCGUUGUUCGGAAUCACUGGGCGUAAAGGGCGCGUAGGCGGCCUCUCUUGUCGCGUGUGAAAGCCCCGGGCUUAACUUGGGAAUUGCGCUCGAAACUACUUUGCUGGAGUGUGGCAGAGGAAGGUGGAAUUCCACGUGUAGCGGUGAAAUGCGUAGAGAUGUGGAGGAACACCAAUGGCGAAGGCAGCCUUCUGGGCCAACACUGACGCUCAUGCACGAAAGCGUGGGGAGCAAACAGG